AAUGCUCCUAAGUUGGUUGCCAACCGCCGUAAAACUCUAAAAAGAAGAAGAAGAAGUGGUGCAGCCUCUGCCGCUGAGUCUGGAGUAGACCCCGCCCCUGGGCUUUCUCACUUCCUGGUGUGAACCGUGUGAGCCGUGCGAGCUGUGCUCACCUGUUGGGCCGCGUUUGGGGAAUCAAUCCCCCCUUCAUCUGGGUGUCAACUUGCCGCUAGAUGAGUGGCUGUAGGGCGGUCGCAGACUCCCCACCUCUCCUACUGGGCGUGUCAGUUAAAUGUUUGUUUGCCAGGAGCGGCUGGCUAAUCUGCCGUGGAGCCCGCCAGCUGUUUUGUCCUUCUGGGUGGCUUCGAAGUCCAGUGUUGGCACGAAUAAAUACGCCUGGACUGCCUCUGCUCCUUGGAAGUCCGCCGUCUGCAGGUUGCUGCACCCCUGUCGACCUGCUGGCUUCCUGACCGAGCUGAUUACACGCUUGUGGGACGCCAGGAAUACACAGAAGCGAUCUGCUUACUUUAUCAUCUUUUCUUUUGAUUAAGUAUAUUUGGGUUAGGUGUUGGUAUAUUUUGUUGUUCUUUUGGUUAUUGUUUCUUUAUUUAAUUGUGUGUUCAUUCUUUGUUAUUUUCCAGUUACCUUUGUUUUUGUUCGGGUGUGGCAGUUACCGGUUUGCAUUUAUUUAUUUUACUUGUGAGUUGUGGCUGCCCGCCCACUUGUGUUUAGUUCAUUCAGGUAUUUCUUUUUUUGUUUGAAUGCAUGAAUGGGAGGGAAAAACCCUUUUUAACUCCCCUUGUCUUUUUCCCUCCCUUCCAGAAGCUGAGCACGACGGUGGCGGCAUCGGUGUCCCUGGGUGGUGGGUCUCCCUCCUGUGUGAUGUGCUGCGCACCCCUUUUUGUUUGAGUGUGUUCACCUUUAUUUUCAGCGAGUGAGAGUGUCCACGUGUGUCUGGGGUGAUCCUUCAGAGGCCUUCAUUCCCCUUACUACCCGUGUCCCACCGGUAAGCCUCAGCUCCUGUUUGGGCUCCCCCUCUUCCCCGUCUUUUAAAGAGAGUGAAUGUGUUUUUUUGAAAUUUGAUAUUUAAUAAAGAUAUUUUCUGUUGGCCAGAACCCACGUCUCCUGCUUCUUAAGCCGCGAACCUGAGUGUCCUCACCAAUCAUUACUUUUUAGUUAUUUCCUUGGGUGCAAUUCCCAAGGUGGUGUUGUCUGGCUUCU